AUUGAACGCUGGCGGCAUGCUUUACACAUGCAAGUCGAACGGUAACAGGGAGCUUGCUCUGCUGACGAGUGGCGAACGGGUGAGUAAUGCGUCGGAACGUGCCGAGUAGUGGGGGAUAACGCAUCGAAAGGUGUGCUAAUACCGCAUACGUACUGAGGUAGAAAGUGGGGGACCUUCGGGCCUCACCCUAUUCGAGCGGCCGACGUCUGAUUAGCUAGUUGGUGAGGUAAAGGCUCACCAAGGCGACGAUCAGUAGCGGGUCUGAGAGGAUGAUCCGCCACACGGGGACUGAGACACGGCCCAGACUCCUACGGGAGGCAGCAGUGGGGAAUUUUGGACAAUGGGCGCAAGCCUGAUCCAGCCAUGCCGCGUGUCUGAAGAAGGCCUUCGGGUUGUAAAGGACUUUUGUCCGGGAGCAAAUGCCUGGUGUUAAUAGCACUGGGAGCUGAGAGUACCGGAAGAAUAAGCACCGGCUAACUACGUGCCAGCAGCCGCGGUAACAC
rnacentral:rRNA from 1 species